AUGACUGUACCCGAAUAAGAAGGUCCGGCUAACUUCGUGCCAGCAGCCGCGGUAAUACGAAGGGACCUAGCGUAGUUCGGAAUUACUGGGCUUAAAGAGCUCGUAGGUGGUUAAAAAAGUUGAUGGUGAAAUCCCAAGGCUCAACCUUGGAACUGCCAUCAAAACUUUUUAGCUAGAGUGUGACAGAGGAAAGUGGAAUUUCUAGUGUAGAGGUGAAAUUCGUAGAUAUUAGAAAGAACACCAAAUGCGAAGGCAACUUUCUGGGUCACUACUGACACUGAGGAGCGAAAGCAUGGGUAGCGAAGAGGAUUAGAUACCCUCGUAGUCCAUGCCGUAAACGAUGUGUGCUAGACGUUGGAAAUAUAUUUUCAGUGUCGCAGGAAAACCGAUAAACACACCGCCUGGGGAGUACGACCGCAAGGUUAAAACUCAAAUGAAUUGACGGGGACCCGCACAAGUAGUGGAGCAUGUGGUUUAAUUCGAAGAUACGCGCAGAACCUUACCAACACUUGACAUGUUCGUCGCGACUCUAAGAGAUUAGAGUUUUCGGUUCGGCCGGACGAAACACAGGUGCUGCAUGGCUGUCGUCAGCUCGUGUCGUGAGAUGUUGGGUUAAGUCCCGCAACGAGCGCAACCCUCACUUUUAGUUGCCAUCAUUAAGUUGGGCACUCUGAAAGAACUGCCAGUGAUAAGCUGGAGGAAGGUGGGGAUGACGUCAAGUCCUCAUGGCCCUUACGUGUUGGGCUACACACGUGCUACAAUGGUAUCUACAACAGGAAGCAAAACUGCGAAGUUAAGCAAAUCCCUAAAAGAUACCUCAGUUCGGAUUGCACUCUGCAACUCGAGUGCAUGAAGCUGGAAUUACUAGUAAUCGUGGAUCAGCGUGCCACGGUGAAUGCGUUCCCGGGUCUUGUACACACCGCCCGUCACACCAUGGGAGUUGGUUCUACCUUAAGGCAAGGUUUUAAACCCUUGACCACGGUAUAGUCAGCGACUGGGGUGAAGUCGUAACAAGGUAACC
rnacentral:rRNA from 1 species